UGGGGAAUUUUGGACAAUGGGGGAAACCCUGAUCCAGCCAUCCCGCGUGUGCGAUGAAGGCCUUCGGGUUGUAAAGCACUUUUGGCAGGAAAGAAACGUCAUGGGUUAAUACCCCGUGAAACUGACGGUACCUUCAGAAUAAGCACCGGCUAACUACGUGCCAGCAGCCGCGGUAAUACGUAGGGUGCAAGCGUUAAUCGGAAUUACUGGGCGUAAAGCGUGCGCAGGCGGUUCGGAAAGAAAGAUGUGAAAUCCCAGGGCUCAACUUUGGAACUGCAUUUUUAACUACCGGGCUAGAGUGUGUCAGAGGGAGGUGGAAUUCCGCGUGUAGCAGUGAAAAGCGUAGAUAUGCGGAGGAACACAGAUGGCGAAGGCAGCCUAAUGGGAUAACACUGACGCUCAUGCACGAAAGCGUGGGGAGCAAACAGG
rnacentral:rRNA from 1 species